AAAUAGCACAAAACAUAGACACUACAGUUCUGAAGCAUGGAACGAUCCAUAGAAGACCGGACCAUGCUCCUAAACCAUCCGGCUACAAAACUUGGUACAGCAAGGUUACAAACAAAAGUAUCACAGUUUGAUGAUUUUGAGAAAUGGGACUUCGCUGCACCGCAGCACCUUACGCCUUGAGCUUGCCAAAGAACCUCUGCUUCUCAUCGGUAGUCUGGAAGCGACCGUGCCCAAAUUUGGACGAUGUGUCGAUGAACUUGAGCUUGAUCUCCUCCAGCGCCAGCCGGGAAGUCUGCUUCAGGAGGGACUGGCGGAGGGUCACCACCCUCUUCUUUGGUCCCACACAGCAGCCCUUGAUCAUCAGGUAGUCACCCUUCACGAUACCAUAAUGGGGGAAGCCACCCAUGGGAGUGAUGUCCUUCUCAGUCCUGCAAAUGGCAGCAAUUCGUUACCAACAAGAGCAACA
rnacentral:misc_RNA from 1 species